UCUCUAGAGUAUGUAGUUUCACAUAUAAAACUUAAGCGAAAGCAUUAGACGCGCAUUGACGCUACUUAUGACAAAAGGCGAUAAUAGAUGUGUGUUUUAUUUAAUUACCCUGCUGGAAUUUUCAUCGAGGAACACAACUUAUACUUGUCUAUCAAACAAUUUUGUCGAAGAAAGAAUACAUGAAAAAUGUUAGAAGCGCUCAUAACCUAACCUUGUGUCCGCUUACAGACUCCAUUGCUAGAGUACUCGAGGAUAAAAGCACGUGACUCACGUAGAAAAAGGAAGACGAGCGGUGGGGAGGAACGACCAUUAAGUAUUAUAUGGCGGGAAACUGCCCAAAAUCGGCGACAAUGGUUGCUUUUUUGCUUACCUUGCUCGCAGAAUUCAUGUCAGUUUGUUGUUAUGCUGGUACUUCACCAUCAGCGGGACAAACAUUCGUACGGUAUUGCCAUCUCGCGUCGUUCUCAGAAUCCUUUCCUUUAAACAAUUAUAACCUCAACUUGUUUUGACUGCUUAUCCUUUCUUUUUUCUCAUCAUCGAACGAACGAAGAUUUUUGCCUUUAACUGAAAUAAUCAUGUUGAUUCUCGACAUAUUAUACAAGAACUAAUUACGAAAACAUAAUAUAGUAAUUUCGAUAUUCGCGUGAUUACUUAUCAUUCGUCACUACAGUGGUGGACUAUACUAUACUUUUACUAUACUUCUAUUAUAUUGUUGGAAUGAAACUGACUUUUCGAAUUAACUUGCCGAUAUGUAUACAUAUCGCUGAUUCAUUUUGAUUUAUAAAUAUAAAAAAAAAACACCAAUGUGUAUGAGAAUAAUGAGAUUUAUUUAAAAAUUACAUUUAAUCAUACAGAAUAGAAAAUAGGAUGGGUGAAAGAAUAUGUGAAAGAAAAAUUUCCAAAUAUUAGAUCUUUGCUUUCCAAAUACAUAGUAUGUAUAUCUCAAAGGUGGCUGCUAUUUAUAAUAAAAAAAAAAAAAAAGAAUACAAUAUAUCUCACUGCCCA